AAGAUUAAAAUAAAUGUUUUCACUUACCUUUGUAGAGGAGAUAUGUGAACUAUAGAUAUCCUUUAAUAAUCUAUAACCUGUUGUGAACUGUGUCUUUCAUUAAUAGAAAAAAGGAUAUAUAUACAAGGAUAAUAGCAGGAUACAGAGAAUAAGGUAAAACCCUAAUGGGCUGUGGGCCGGUUAUGGAGUCCAUCCAUAUGGUUUAUAACACUCCCCCUUGGAAGACAUAACCGUGCCCGAUACUAAACCGGGAUCUCUAUAAUGCGCUGGGGAAUGUUGCCUCAUUAAAACCUUACCAGGAAAACCCAGUGGGACAAAACCAUGGUGAAGGAAAAAGAGUACAACACGCAUUACUCCCCCUGAUUUGAGCAUCACUGUAGAUCCUUAAGUCCGUGCAUCCCGAUCUGAUGAAUGAGCUUCCGGAACGUUGAAGUCGGCAAUGAUUUGGUGAAUAGGUCGGCUGAAUUCUCACUUGACCGGAUCUGUUGAACUUUGACCUGACCGUCCUUCUGUAAUUCAUGAGUGAAUAAGAGUUUUGGCAAAAUGUGCUUCGUCCGGUCUCUCUUAAUGUAGCCAUCCUUGAGUUGAGCAAUACAGGCUGUGUUGUCUUCAAAUAUGAUGGUCUUUGAUGUAGUAGUAGCUGCGCCUUAAGGAAGGCUGCCUACGUACCCGUGGAAGGGAUCAAGCCACACGUAGUUCCUAUUCAUUGACCAUGCCAUAAUUUGAUCUUAUGAAUAACCUGCAUCAGCAAAUCAAACUAAACCAAAGCAAACUGGACCUUCUUUGGUUAGAUCAGUAUAGAAUAAACCCAAGUAAACAACGCAGGAAGAAUAAACUUUAAAAUUUAACCAAACCUUCCUUUAAACCUUUCCAGUGCCUUUGGGUUGAUCAUGAACUAAAUUUAGACAGGAGACUCACGGCAAAACAAAUGUUUGGUCUAGUGUGUCUAGCCAAAUUCAUUAGAACUCCUAUGGCACUGAGGUAUGGCAUUUCCGGACUGAAUGGAUCACUAUCCAAUUUGAGGCUUCUCACCACCAUUGGGCCUGGUCAAUGGGCGGGCCUGGUCCUUAUUAAAUCUCCUUGAGUACUCUUUCAGUGUAUGCCAUUUGAUGCACAAGGAUUCCAUUAUUCACGUACUCAGGUUGUAAUCCCAAACAGAACUUAAUUAUUGCCUAGGUCUUUCAUUUGAGAUUCUUUCUUUAGAUAUACUCAACUGUUUGGGCGAUUAUCCAGAGGUUUAAAUCAUUCAUAUACACUGCUAUGAUUACAAAUCCUUUGUUUGCAAACUUCUUGAUAAAAAUACAUGGACUGAUCGGAUCGUUUUUAUAGCCUUCUCUGAUGAGAUAUUCGCUUAACCGGUUAUACCACAUACGUCCGCUUUGUUUCAAUCCAUAUAAGGAUUUGUCCAGCCUUAUGCAGUGCUGUUCUCGAAAAUCUUUCUUAUCUUUGAGCUCAAUACCCUCUGGUAAUCUCAUAUAUUAUCCAGUGGACUUAUAUAAAUAUGCAGGCAUUACAUCCAUUAGCCGCAAAUCUUUCUCUUUUAUAUAGCCAGACUUAACAAAAAUUUAAAUGUCUUAGCAUCCACCACAGGGGAGUAUAUCUCCUCUAAUUCUGGUCUUUGUGUGAAUCCUUGUGCGACAAGCCGUGUCUGAUAUAUCACGCUUUCACUAUGUUUAUUUCACAUAAUCACAAAGACUCAUUUGUCCCACUGGCUUUACAUUGAAUGGUGUUCUUCGUAUUGGACCAAACACAUUCUUCUUCUUAAUGAUUAUUAGCUCCACGUUUUAUGGUCUUGUACCAUUUUAAUCAAUCAGGUCUUUGAGUGCACUCUAGUAUAGACGUGGGCUCCUGAUCCUCAUUCAUUUCAGUUGCUAUCUUGUACGCAAAUAUUUUAUCAUUGAUGUCGACAUCUUUUCGGUUCCAUUGUAUUCUAGACAUGAUAUAGUUUAUAGAGAUCUCUUUACACCUUCAGGACCUUGAGGUUUGGCGUCCCAAACCUCAUUGAUUGGUACCUUAGGGUUAUGUCUAUUAGCCGGCCAUGUCUAUGGUUUCUUGAACCUUCUCGGUUUCCCUUGCACCUUUCUUUGAUUUCCGAGGGUUCUUGUCUUUGGAACCUUUUGGGUCUACCACAUUUCUUACGUGUUGUAGCCUCUGUAGCAACUUGAUUGUGUUCCUUGUAAACAUCAAUACGUACUGGUGCAUUACAAGCUGGUAUGUACGAUUUUGUUACUCUCUUUGGGUCAUUAUAGGAAUCUUGGCAACUGUUUUAGCUAGCUUUUGCAGAUAUAUAGUCUUUUGGAUCUCUGAUGGAGUCCGAGGAUCUUGCCAUGUGAAGGAUGUUUGAUUCCAUGUAAGUUCUUUGACCAGCUUGUUAGUCUCUCCACCCAGUGUUGGGAAAACGGAUUCAUUGAGAUGACAAUCCUUGAAUCUGGCCUUUGGCUCGAGAUACUUAAUGAUGGUGGGAGAAUCAUUGUUAACGUAUAUUCCCAUCCCCUUUUGAGGUCCCAUCAUUUGCUCUCUGUGGUGGUGCAAUGGGUACAUAGACUGAACACCCAAAUGUCUUAAGAUGGGAAACGUCUGGCUCAUGACCCGUUAGCAAUUGGGAUGGGGAAUAUCUAUGCUCACUAGAAUGGCCUGAUGCGUAUAAGCUCUUGUUGCAUGUAAUAUUGUGUGUCCCCAAGUAUGGACAUGUGCCACGGGGUAUACUACUCUCCCCCUCAUGGACAUACUGUAGCCAUAAAACGCUUGAGACAUAAUUUACCAGCAUUAUCUAGACAUAUAGUCUUAAGUAUGUGGGCUCACAGACUUAUGGCAUUAUCUAGACAUAUAGUCUUAAGUAUGUGGGCUCACAGACUUAUGGUCUGGGCCAGCAAUCUAGCAAACACCAAGUUUCUAGUUGCUUUGACUGGUGAUGACCUUAGUAUGGGUUUCCCUUGUGUACAUGCUGCACACGUGAGGUCCUUAAGGAGUGUGCCCUUUUGAUUUUAAUAUCAGCUUUACGCAUCAUGUUAGAACCAGGCUGGCCAAGCCGGUCAUGCCACUAGUGAAUUUCUCAGUAAAUCCUUUUGUUUACUGUAUUAGCCUCUAUCAUAUUGACCUUGGCAUAGUAAAGGUCUAUGACGCGGGUAUAGUCUCUAAGACCUUCUCAUGGUCUUGGGUGCUCUUAGUAAUAUAUGGGAAUCCUUUGUUCCCUUCACCCUUGGUUUCAAUGUGGAAACCAUUCAAACACUUUUCUUUGAAACUCAACAAGGCCCCUUUGAGCUGGGUGAAUAUGAAGCAUCUGAGGAUGCGUGCCCUUGGGAAUAUGGGCCUGCCAUGGGCCUGCCCUUAGCCUUCACUAAAUUUAGCUAUACCCGCAAUUUGGCUAAUCAACCAUGUCUUUGGAUAUUUCGUUGGCAUUCCGAAGUCUCAUAGUCAUCUAUCUCAUGGUCGAAAUCUUCUUCACCAUUGUGAUGAAAUGAGCUUCUAGAUUCUUUUCAAACUCUCUUGAUAGAGAUCAAUGAGAUGCUUAGGAGUCAUGCACGUCUUAGUCCAAUGGUUUCCCCAUUCCUCAUCAGUGGCAAACAAGUUUAUUUGAGUGUUGUGGUUUGGGUAUACCACGGCCUCUAACUCGAUUACGACCAAAGUCGGGUCGGCGGCCUUAACCAUAUGAAUGGUUUCCUUGAUCAUAUAAAUUAUAAUUGCCAUGAUACUUAUCUUUUUGGACGUGGUUAGACUCUUUAGUCUCUUUAUGCUCUUUAGGCUCUUCAGCCCAAUGGGCUUCUGAUAAUGGGGUAGGACCAGGAGGUCUCAUUUCACUAUUCAUAACUCAUUGUUUUGCUCAGCAAGUAGCAAAACAAGAGUUUAGACUUGCAUCGGGCUUUUGGGUAAUAGCACCGUUUUUUUUUUUUUUUUUUCAACUCUGUCCUGAGGUCCAGAGGAUUCUUAAUAGUGAGGUACUGAUUUUGAGACUCUCAUUGAGGUGAUGGCGUAUGUUAGUAAUCGCCUUAUAUCUUUCUCUUCUGGUGAUAUUGUUUCCUUCCAUAAUAGAUUCACCAAGCUCUUUUUCCUUUAGGACAAUCUCGGUGUCCAAAGCCCAUUGUAAAUAAUUGUCACCAGAGGCAUUGAGUGCCGUGUAUUCAUAAUAGUUGAUUUCUGAUAUCUAUAAUAUAUAGAGUUAAAUGAGAACUCAUGUAAUCGGUUAGACCAAGUCAUGCGGUAUUUAAGACCGAGUCAUGCUUGUCUUCAGCAAGUGUUUUCUAAACAAUCAUGUUAUAUAUAUAUGGAUGAAAUCAACCCUAGAAGAUUGAUCUAGUAUACAACAACCAAACAAUCGGAUCAUACUAGAUUAGGAUAUUAGGAUUUCGCGGUUAAGUUUUAGGGUUUUAGCAUCCGCGAUUUAUAGUACUAGGGUUUUUGCUAGGAUUUCGGUUUUAUGUAUGGAACUUUCUAUUUAUGGAAACUUUCCUUAUAUGGAACUUUUCUUUUAUGGAAAAUUUCUAUUUCUCAUCUAGAAAGAAAUCCUAAACAAUUAUGUACUUUAGGGUUUUGGAAUAUUUCCUUAUGAAGGCGUUUCCUAUUUUGGUAACUUUCCAUUUUGGGAAACUUGCUAUUUUAGGGAACCUUUUAUUUUGGGAAACUUGCUAUUUUACGAAACUUUCUAUUUCUGUAAACUUUCUUUAUAUGGAAACUUUCUAUUUAUGGAGAUUUUCUAUUUAUGAAAACUUUCUAUUUCUGGAAACUUUCCUUAUAUGGAACUUUCUAUUUAUGGAGAUUUUCUAUUUAUGGAAACUUUCCUUAUAUGGGAAACUUGAUCUUAAACCGUGACUUAGGGUUUAUUAAAACCGGUUUAAUCGAGGAUUUAGGGUUUCGGUUUUCUUUUGGAUUAUACCAAACAUAAGUCCGGUUUUAGGUCUAUAAUCAAACCGCAACUUGCAGUUAGGGUAUCGCAUUUUAAAAUCGCGAUUAGGAUUAAACCGGUUAAUCAAACCGGUUAAUCAAACCGGUUAUGUUCUGGUUAAGGUUUCGAUUAAGGUUUCGGUUAAAAACGGAAAUAGCGGUUUGGUUUUCACGAUUAAAAUCGCGAUUAGGGUUUAUAUUUAUGGAGGUUUUAUGGUAUGAGAGAACAAUCAAGCAAACCGGUUUAACCGCGUAUAUGAUGAAUAAUAACUUUAAUAUGCUAAAUUUAUGAUUAUCAAUCAAUUUAUAACUCAAUCGUAGCGUGUGACUAUAAUUACUCUUUCACAGAUUAUUAUAAACAAUUUUAAUACGUAAGUAAUAGCGAUUGACUUACGACUCUUAAUGGCAAAUUAGCAAUGAUCAAUACUCAAAUAUAAUUAGAUGAAAUACUAUAUAUAAUAUUUGGUCUUAGAACAGUUAAGCAUAAUUCAAUUAUGAAUCAAAUUUAUAGCAAUAACGUGAUGAAUUAAAUAAUAAUUGAAAUAUGUUAAACGUAGAGUAUCAAUCAAUCUACGACUCCGACAUAUCAAACGUGCAAAGUAAUAUUGUUUUCUUAUGAGAAUUAAUUAAUACAACAUGACUAUAAUAACUAGGAAGAUCAAUAACAUAGACUUAGGUGCUUUUAAUAAUAAAAUAAUAUAUUAUAUGAACAGAUCUAAUGCAAUGAUAAACAACGAUCGAAAGCAUGGAUCAGUUUUGUAUCUUAAUUAAUUAAGCAUGACAAUAUUGACUACAUGAAUCAAACGUAGACUUAGAUGCUUUUAGUAGUAAAAUAUAUUAUAUGAGACUAUGAACAUAAUAAUAUUCAAACAAUCUUAUGCAACGAUUAAAUAAACAAAACAUGAACCAAACAAACAAUCAUGCAAUAACAAUCAUGCAAGAACGAUCUGUUUAGAAAGUAUGAGUGGAUCGUUUUAUAUAUUAAACUUGAGGUUACUUACCUCGACGUGAAAGAUGAGAUCGGAAACGGACGAAAACGGCGAAGGCUUUUGUUUGCUCGGCGGCUAGGGCUCGUCAAGUUUAGGGUUAGGGUUUUUUUUUUUUUUUUUUUUUUUUUUUUUUUUUUUUUUUUCGAGCUUAUGUGCUGAUAACGUGUUGUGAACUGUGUCUUUCAUUAAUAGAAAAAAGGAUAUAUAUACAAGGAUAAUAGCAGGAUACAGAGAAUAAGGUAAAACCCUAAUGGGCUGUGGGCCGGUUAUGGAGUCCAUCCAUAUGGUUUAUAACAUAACCUACUUAUUGGACUCAUAUCGUGAAUACUAGUACUAUUUGUUCCUUAAUGUCGUUUAACACAUUUCAUACAAAUUAAUUUUCUUAAAACAUAUAGUCUCUAUCUACUGUACCACACUAAUUAAAUGGUGAUGAUUUUUUUUUUGGGACAAAUUUUAAAUGGUGAUGAUUUAAAUUCAAAAUUUAUUAGUUUUAACUUUGAAAUAUCGGGUAAAGUAGAACUUUAGUUUCAAAAAAUU
rnacentral:lncRNA from 1 species